rnacentral:tRNA from 1 species
GCCGCGAUGGCACAACUCGGUACUGCGGCAGUCUCGAAAACUGCUGGCCGCAAGGCCUUCCCGGUUCAAAUCCGGGUCGCGGCG